rnacentral:rRNA from 1 species
UACAGAGGGGGCAAGCGUUGUUCGGAAUUACUGGGCGUAAAGCGCACGUAGGCGGAUCGAUCAGUCAGGGGUGAAAUCCCAGGGCUCAACCCUGGAACUGCCUUUGAUACUGGGUAUCUCGAGUAUGGAAGAGGUGAGUGGAAUUCCGAGUGUAGAGGUGAAAUUCGUAGAUAUUCGGAAGAACACCAGUGGCGAAGGCGAACUUACUGGACACAUAUUGACGCUGAGGUGCGAAAGCCGUGGGGAGCAAACAGGG